rnacentral:tRNA from 1 species
UCCCUGGUGGCUUAGAUGGUAAAGAAUCUGCCCACAAUGCAGGAGAUCCAGGUUCAAUUCCUGGGUCGAGAA